CUCCCGGCCCCCAGCGCCGCAGCCCCCUGUGUACCCUUUCCAUGUUGCUUCCCCAGGCCAGCGGCCACCUGCCGCCAGCCCGACCCCUCCCGCGGUCACCCGGGCUGAGGCGCCUGGGGGAGGUCCCUGCCCCAACGAAGUGGUUCAAUCAAUGCAGUCUGAGCAGGCCACCUGCCUGAACCAGGUAACAUGUUAAAACUUUCAACAACGGAUCUCUUGGCUCUCGCAUCGAUGAAGAACGCAGCGAAAUGCGAUAAGUAAUGUGAAUUGCAGAAUUCAGUGAAUCAUCGAAUCUUUGAACGCACAUUGCGCCCUCUGGCAUUCCUCAGGGCAUGCCUGUUCGAGCGUCAAUAGAAACCCCCCUCACCCUCCCGGUGGUACUGGG
rnacentral:misc_RNA from 1 species